ACAUGCAGUCGAGCGCAGGCACACCAGAAGAUCGCUUCGGGGUGAUUCUGGGGGAGUGAGGUGCGGAAUGGUGAGUAAUCUAUGGGCUCCCGGGGGGUAAGACUGGGAUACCUUCGGGAAACCGGAGCUAAAACCGGAUAUUAAUUCCUUUCACCUGAUGGCAAAUGGAAAGACGGUGUCCGCUGUCCCUUACAGAUGGGCCCGCGGUGCAUUGCCCACUUGGUGGGGUAAUGGCCCCCCGUCGCAAAGAAGCAUAACCCACCUGAGAGGGUGAUCGGCCACCCUGGGACUGAGACACGGCCCAGACUCGAACAGGAGGCAAUGGGCGGGAAUCUUCCCC
rnacentral:rRNA from 1 species